UGGGAAGCCCGCCUCAAGAUUAGGUCACCCACUACGUAAGUAGGUAAGACCCCUGGAAGACUACCAGGUAGAUAGGCGGCAUGUGUACGGGCAGCAAUGCCCU
rnacentral:rRNA from 1 species